GACAGAGGGGGCAAGCGUUGCUCGGAAUUACUGGGCGUAAAGGGCGCGUAGGCGGGAUGGCAAGUCGGUCGUGAAAUCCCUCGGCUCAACCGAGGAACGUCGAUCGAUACUGCUGUUCUUGAGGAUUGCAGAGGAGACUGGAAUUCCCGGUGUAGCGGUGAAAUGUGUAGAGAGUCGGGAGGAACGACCGGUGGCGAAGGCGGGUCUCUGG
rnacentral:rRNA from 1 species